GAUAUGUCAGUUUGUUUUGUUGGUUCUCAUUUGUUCAUGCUUUGUUAUGCGCCAUUUUCUAUUUUGCUGAAGUUAAUUCGAUGGCGUAAAAUACUGAAUAAUUUUCAUAUUGUUUUUAGUCGAUUCUCUUCGCAAGAUUUCAAGAUUGGUAUUCACCCAUACCCAUUAUUCAUGUAUGAAUAGUUUUCAACUCGCUUGAGGGCUUUCCUGACAAAAAGAGUAGGUGAAAACUUCCACCAGCAUCAGAAGAACACUUCUCUCAAUUCGUCAUUGUGCCUAGCUGACUGGGACUUCAUUGGUGACCGCUAACCCCAUCGUAGUUGAUCAAGUUUAGAACUGGUUGUUGCCAUUCCUAGGAUAUUCUGAUCAAUUUUGUGUCGCGGUGGAUAUAGUUUAUUUCUGUUUCCGAAAAAACAAUGUAUGCUGUCUGGUGUUGGACCCCGAAUGCAAGGAAGCUGUAGACCUGCGAAGU
rnacentral:misc_RNA from 1 species